GGGGCUAUAGUAAAAUGGGAUUACGCUACGUUCGCAACGUAGAGUUCCGGGUUCAACUCCCGGUAGCUCCA
rnacentral:tRNA from 1 species